rnacentral:rRNA from 1 species
UCGGCAGGGGGAUAAGCGGGGGAAACCCCGUCUAAUACCGCGUAACGCGGCCUAGGGACAUCCCAAGGCCGCCAAAGGGAGCAAUCCCGGCCACGGAUGGGCAUGCGGCGCAUUAGCUAGUCGGCGGGGUAACGGCCCACCGAGGCGACGAUGCGUAGGGGUUCUGAGAGGAAGGCCCCCCACACUGGUACUGAGACACGGACCAGACUCCUACGGGAGGCAGCAG